rnacentral:siRNA from 1 species
UAACGGCGUGCCUCGGCAUCAGC